rnacentral:misc_RNA from 1 species
GAAAUGCGAUAAGUAGUGUGAAUUGCAGAAUUCAGUGAAUCAUCGAAUCUUUGAACGCACAUUGCGCCCCUCGGUAUUCCGUGGGGCAUGCUUGUUCGAGCGUCAUCUACACCCUCAAGCUCUGCUUGGUGUUGGGCGUCUGUCCCGCCUCCGCGCGCGGACUCGCCCCAAAUGUAUUGGCAGCGGUUCCUUGCCCCCCUCUUUGCGCAGCACAUUGCCAUUCGAGGCGGCGGCGGCCCGCGUCCAACAAGCUCAACCCCCCCGUCUUUGACCUCGGAUCAGGUAGGGAUACCCGCUGAACUUAAGC